AUCACAUGCUUCAAGGGUGACGAAAGAUCACAAGGCAGAAGGUCAGGGUGAGAUCACAAGGUCAGUAAUUUUUCUAUAACAUCUGCAUUUUUUUAAAGUGAGAAAACAGUAACAAAUAUUAUUCUAUAAAACAAUAUCAACAAAGGUCAGGAUUGUUCUAGCCAAUGUUCCUUUAUAAGAAUGUACCACUCUGGUGCAGGGUGUUGAUAAUGGGGGAGACUAUGCACGUGUUGGGGGGCAGGUGGGAUACAGGAUGUCUCUGUACGUUCUUCUCAAUUUUGGUUUGAACCUAAAACUGCUCUAAAAAAUGAAGUCUAAUUUAAAAACUGGGAAAUAAGGCUUAAUAACUUUGGAAGCUGAACCUGGAGCUCCUGGCAGUAUCCUUUCUAGCCCCCAGUCUGCCUCAAAUUGGCUCUCUGAAUGCAUGUGCCAAAUGCAGGGUUCACAGUCUGUGCUCAGGAACCCCUAAAUGCUGAUCAGCUUCCACAGACAACCAAGGACCUAAAGAUCUCUUUUGAACACUUCUGCAAACAGUCUAGUAACUCUUACACUGAAAUACUGACUUUUAAUAAACUUGUGUCUUUUGCCAGCAAUAAAAUUGUGGGAUAAAAUUAUUCUCUCCUUGUGACUGGUAAUGGAAACUUUAAAUAGUGACCAGCUUUUCAGAGUACUAUAAUAUACAAAUACUAUACAAAUACUAUAGUGGACUUCAUUAACUUCAUUAUUAGUAUCUGAACAACAUAC
rnacentral:lncRNA from 1 species